rnacentral:lncRNA from 1 species
GAAAAAAGUGGAAAUUCAGAACAAUUAAAUUGCAACCAUAUGAAAAAGCACACAUCUUGCUACCAUUGUCUUGCAGGGUCUUUUCUUGUGGUGUCAAACCUGGCUUCAGGAAUGUUUUAGAUGACAGAGAGUGUUUAGAAGAGAGAACUGAGAUCACCCCAGUGGUUUAGGUGACAGCUGCUAUAAAGAUGGACUUGAAAAUGAAGUAGUAUACAAGAUAUUCAAUUACUCUGGGAAUCAGAGGAGCUACUGGAAAGGCAUAACACAGGGCUCAGCAGGAGAAUUACUGUCCUGGACCCGGGCCUUCUUGGAACUCUUAUUCUUGGAGGCUCUUGGAAAUGGACAACCAUUUGGAUUCCCUAGGCACAUGUCAACCAGAUUGGAGUGCAAAGUUCUCAUGGAGAUAGUCUUUCUUGGUGUAAAUACAUCACCAUGCCCUUGA